CUCAGUUCGGAUUGAAGGCUGAAAUUCGCCUUCAUGAAGCUGGAAUUGCUAGUAAUCGCGGAUCAGAAUGCCGCGGUGAAUACGUUCCCGGGUCUUGUACACACCGCCCGUCACACCAUGGGAGUCGGAAAUGCCCGAAGUCAGUGACCCAACCAUACGGAGGGAGCUGCCGAAGGCAGGUCCGGUAACUGGGGUGAAGUCGUAACAAGGUACC
rnacentral:rRNA from 1 species